CAGAAGAAAGAAAAGAUAAAGAUAAUAAUUUUUCAGAAAUUUUAGAAAAACAAAUUGAAAUUAUUGUAAAAAGAUUGUAUCGCAAGAACAAUUCAGGUAUGUUGCAAAAAUUUUGUCAUUUUAUAAAAAUAUUUAACAUGUAUUAAUAUACGUUAUAAAUAAAAAUAUGUAUAUUAUUAUAUUAAAGAUUUUUUUGAACGUGAGUGUAGAUCGCCAUCGUAUAAGUCAAUCUAGCUAACGCACGUAAGUACAAUUCACUGAUGUAUGGCGUGUAUUUAUCCGUAGCUUAGGUCACGAAAGAUCGCGUAGAUAGUUUUACAUGUGUUCAGAAAAAUGUAUCGUAUCGUUAUCAUUUGUCUCGCUUCACCCUUCGCUCGUGUCUUUGACUGCGGGUUCUUUCCGUUUCGUUUCUCUUCGCGUCGUUCACGUGACUUCGUUUUGAUUCGACAAUACGUUGCAGAUUUUCAAUUCGAAUCGAUAUAUUUCUCGGCAUAUUGGUAAAAUCAUACGUCAUUUUUGUACAUUUAUGAUUACUUGUUAUCAUUUAACAAGAUAUGAAUAAAGAAUUAAAUAAUUCUCCAAAUUUAACUUUAGAAAAAAAUGUUUCUCGAUAAAGUUAGGUUAGGUUAAGAAUUCGAUCUCGAUUUAAUGUUUACGCUUUUAAUCAAAAUUUGCUUUAUUACCUUUGAUCGCAGAAUUCGUGAAUCGAAGAAGAAUCGUUGCAUUUCGAUUUCGAUUUCUUUUUUUUUUUAUUCGCGAGGUUUUUAAAUUCGACGAGAGUCAUUUACCAUGACCGUUCGAUAAAAUUUGCAACGAUAUAUCGCGGUGCUUUCAAUAGCGGCAUUCUUUCGUAGGAACAACUCGAUCAAGGUCAGCCAGCGAGCGAGACGAGAGAAGGAACGACAGAAAUGUGUCUUAGUAUGUCGUAGGUUACAAAUCGUCCAGGCGAGAGAACUGUAAACAGGCGUAAGGUUAAACGGGCGGUACACACUUAAGUGCAUUAAUGAACGCGCUUAAGAUACGCGGCGUGCCGCCGUUUAAAUAUAGGCUAAACCAGUGUUUCUCAGCCUAUUCGUUAAUGUAGCCCCAUUUGAAGGUUCAAGACUUUUACGUCACGACUAUAUCGCGCUGAUGCUUGCCGUGUAAACGAUAUCGUGAGAACGAAGCGCACGAAUCCUUCGUGCGACAAACUUGAAAGUAACUAACUCGGUUCGCGAUUUGAUAUCUUGAAAUAUGCAGAAGGAAAAUUUGAUAUAAUUCGAUUCUAAUUUAAUUUAAUACGAUUCCCAAUUUAUAUAUACAAAAAUAAGUACGCGACAAGCGAUCGUAAAACGUGCACAAUAUUGCAAGACGGAUAUUAAGGUUAUGUAAUUUUGAACACAAGGUAAAAAAGAUUGGCUGUAAUUUCUUCGAUUUCAAAUGAGUGUAUUAUUAAGUCUUUUGGUUUAAAACCGAAUCAUCGGUGGUUUAUAACCGUAGUGAGAAUUUUAGGUUAGAAUCGUAAUGAAGUGUAUACAACAGGUUAUAAUUAUAGUGAAGGUUUUAGGUUAAUUUAUUUUGUAAGCAAUGAAACGAAACAACCUGUGCUGGAUUUUCUCAAACUUACGUUUGUAUUUGGGAAUAUAAAUUAGUGUAUAGAAAGAAAGCUAAAAAACAAUUAAUUUGAACAAGUGACUCGUUUUAUGCUUUCACGGAGGAAAAAAUCUCUGGAUAAUGUUUUCUUGUUCUCGUAUGCUCGCAACGGAACGAUUAGUAUAGGGAACGGAACAACCGAACUGUCACGAGACGGACAACAAUAUGGAGCAAAGAUAAGAAUGCGGACGAAAUAAAAUCGCGAGAGUGAGGAUAACUUUCGCCGUCGUUUCUUGAUCUUCGAACAGUUGAACAAAAUGAUAUAACGUAGAAUAAUGAAUUCUAAUUUUCGCGAUAUUCGAUCAAGUGAAGUAAAUACUUUUCGACACGAUGAUGAAAAUUACGAGACGAAUGUGUCUCAGUUGGGAGAUACAUACUAUUACCACGCUAGGAAAGGUGAUCAUCGGAGAGGGAAGAGAGGGGGGUUCGUCGGUUGGAACGAAAAGGUGGGGGUAGGACGAAGCGUUUCCACACCGGAUAUCCUCGAAUCCGAGGGAAGUAGUGCACGCGAUUCGCAUCGCCACGCCCGUCAUGCUGAGAAUAUAUAUUUAUAUUAUUAUUAAAAAUUCUUCCUUUUUAUUAUAUAUAUAUAUAUAUUAUUAUAAAUUUACUGAAAGCGACAAUGAAAAAAUUGUUGGAUUAAUUGUGAUUUUUUUUUAUUUAAUUUAGAUUAGGUUAGGUCUGAUUUGCUCGAAUAAUAUCGGUGUCAAGAUCGGCUUAUCUUGAUUAAGUAAAGGUUUUAAUUUUAAUUCCAUUUUUAUGGCAUCUAUAUAACUCUCUCGAGAUAUCACUUUUAUAUUUUUUUCGUAUUGACGUUUCAACGAUAUUAAAAAUUAUUCUCAGAUUCCUAAGUGUUCGUAAAUGAUGAUGGAUGAACUGGCCGUUCCAAAAUGCAUCCGAUUAGAUGUUGAAAUAAUUUCGUGGAAACCUUGAACCGUCUUCUCGGCUAACUGUUUGCGUUAUGCAUGUGCAGAGAGCAUGAUUUGCAGCGUUAUUAGACGAGUCUCGCGUUUCUAGAUCAUCGCUCCCUUCUCCCAAUGUCGUCUCUUUUCUCGAAAAUAUUUAUAUCCGUCGUACUACGUUCCAUUGCGUAAAAAUGCGAUUUGCAAAUCAAUCAAUAUUGCUCACGUUCGAUACGUCCCGCUUCACGCGCAUUCAAGAUUAGAACAGUGGCAUUUUUGCAUGGAAACCGGUUCACUGUAUUUAAUGCCAAGCACCAAGAGUCGUCACUAUCGAUGCGUUUCAUAAAAUUCUUCUAUACCGAUCCUUGUGUAUAUUUCUAUUAUUUAUAUCCGAUUUUUAUUAUUUUUAUUUUGCAUUCUACACGUAAAAUGAUAUAUAUAUAUUUUAAAUAUAUCUUGAAUAUCUUGUCCUUCUAUUAUUCUUCUUCCAGUCGUUGAUAUAAGCGCCUAGCAUGGGAUCAAAUAACGCUGGAACGUUCGGCAGAAGAUAUCGUAAUCUCGUGAAAUCUCGAGGACGAAAGCGUCGAUUUUGGAACACAAAAAAUCGUCCACGGGGGGGGAAAGAGAGUGAUGCAACCUGGUGUAUUUAUGGUAAUUUUAUUUACAGGAGUUCGGUCGAUUUAUCUUGACAAUAUUCCGCUCGUGAUUUGAAACAUGCGUGUCCGAUUAAUACUCGAACCGCUGCGCUGCCUGCUGUCCCAACUGCGGGCGAAACAAAGAGGACCGAUAUGGAAACGACAAGGACAGCCUGGUUUAUGCUCACUGUCUGCCUUACAACAGGGAGUGGGAGGAGGAACACGCACACACGGCCGCAUAAAUAACGCGACGCGAACACAGAGGCACGGCGCGGACUUGCGUGUAAACGAAGAGAGCGAGACAAACGGAGGAAAGAGGAUGGUUAUACAGGUUGUAAAACAAGAACGACGAAGACGAAAGAGGAUGUAGUCGGCGGACAUUUACGAAGAGAACCGAGUAUCCCCGACAUGUGGGAGAGCCCCGUAGUACAGAGAGAGGUAUCGGUUUUACGACGUUCGAUCACCUGAACGAAGAUUUUUUAAUCAUGGAGCAAAGAGAAAAUUCGAACAACCGGAAUUAUCAUUCUUCUCGAUAAUACUUCGAUUAAUAAAUUGAUUGUCCCUAGAGAAUGUUUCCAACUCGUCGUUUCUCCGGAAAUAACAUGUUUUUGAUGAAAAUUUAUACGAUGAAUUUGUUACUUUAAUAUUAAUUAAUUAGAAAUACUUUUAUUUUUUUUUUUUACGUAACACAUUCGAUUACGUUUAUGUAAAAAUUUUCAAUAUUCUCAAAUUAUAUUCCAUCAGCAAGAUUAAUCAUCGAUUGAUUGAUUGAAAAAAAUGCGACAAUAGCGAAACAAAAGUUAUUUUGAUAAUUGGCGUGAAACGUAUAAAAAAAAAGAAAAAAUAAAUAAAAAGAGUAGAGCAUACAGUAGAAUAUCAUUGAAAAAAAAGAGUAGAGUAUAGUCGUAUAGUCGUAGAUUAGACGCGGUACACGUGUACGAAAGUGGACGAAAAGUACGUGGAACCUGGAUGAACAGAAGCAGCCCUGGUCGCACAAUACGAGCAUGAAUGAAGUAUCGCGGCUGGCUCGCGGGGUACGGUAUACUCGGACGAAACAGGGUGAAGCGACGAGGGGGAUCGCAGGCGUCACUGUGCUUUCGUGGCGGUGAGGUUGUUGCGACGUAUGUAUACGCGUUUACGUGUAAACGAUCACGCACGUAUGAGUGAACGCGCGCAUAUGCAACUUUCGGUAUGAUCGAAUGCGCAUGCGCAUCGCGCACACCCCACCCACAGACAGACAGGCCGCUGCUCCGCUGUUUGUAACAAGCAGAGAGUCUAGAACGCCACACCAGCGUCGAGCGCAACCGGCCUCGGCUUCAAACAAGACACGAAUUAUACUCCUGCUGUGAAAACGAACGGUAUACGGUAUAUAUUGAGAAAAAAGAACGGACGAUAUUGUAUCGUAAAAAAAGGAAAAAUAAAAGGGAUCGGUAGUGUACGCGUGCGCGUUGUUAUAUUAUAUUUCGUUGUUUUCUCGUCAACCAGACCAAAUGAUGAGUGUUCGCUAAGAUUUUCUGUGAAAAACAGGAAAAAAGAUUCGUUCACCUUUCCGUUCGAGAGUUGUCGGUAUACAAUCGUAUCUCUGUACGAUUGGUUGGAUAUUUGGAUUGUGCGCGAUUAUUCACCGAGAGAACAUAAACGUGUACGCUUUGUAUCAAAAGUGUGUAAUUUAAAAGUGGCGAAACGAAAAGAAUCGAUGGAAACUCGGCAGUUCGAAGAUCGAUUCGAUUAUCGACCGGCACGGCAAUACGAGCGAACGUGAAAAAAGUUGGAAGAGAGGUUAGAAAAGACAAGUAAAAGAGUAAAGAUUGUGUCGUGUACGUGAUUGCGAGGCCUGAAGGAAUACGUGGUCGAAGCAAAAAGCGAAAAAAAGUGCCGAAGAAAGAGAGGAUAAAAGAAGAAGAGAAGAGAGCAAGAAGGAAAAGGCGAGAAAAUAGAGGUGUUGAGUGGUGGGCCUGCGAGCCGGACAGUACGUGCCUGGGCUGCGCUCGCACGAUCUACACCGGCAUGGCCGCCGAGGCCAGCUGAACUUUUUCUUCUCUCUCUCUUGCACGACGAUCGUUGCUCCCACCCACUUUAUGCAUCUUUCUUCCUCCCUUCCUUCUUUUCCGUCUCAUUUCUCUCUCUUUCUCGUUCUGUCAAUCCUUCUUCGUCUUCGUUCACGCUUCUCCCACUUCUUGACUGUCUCGUCAUUUCGUCUCUUUUUUUCUUCCUUCCAUCCAACUCGUUCCGACUCUCUUUCUCUCCCGUUCUUUGCUUAACGCAAGAGAGGACCGUGCGCCACGAAUACCCAGACUCCUUGUGUAUGCGUUCGCCUAUAUGUGUAUAUACGCGCAGUUUGCCAGCCAUCGCGGGGAAAUCGAGUGGAGGCUUGCCAUUCGAGAAAAUCAGUGAACGCAAGCGAACCCCUUACACUACUGCUGUUUAACCGCGGACACAUGCGUCAGAUUUAUCGCGGCAGUGGUCUUCUUCAUAACUUAAUAUCGUGUGAUGUGCGUGUGUGAUUCAACGUAAAAGUUGUUUUAUUCGAAUCACCGUGAUGGGAAUCGAUAUUCUCGCAUAAUAAAUCGCAGGAAAUAUAAUCGUGAAAUAUCAUAUCGGAAGAAAUGAGUGAAAUGUGCGCGAAACAGAGAAAUACUGUAUCGACGAUCGCGACGUUGUUCGAUCAAGUUAAUUGCUGUAUCUACGAUUAGAUUAUCCGGGCGGAAACACGAUACGAUAAAUGGUUAAGUGACUUUAAAAUUUUAUAAUAAAACGAGAGAACAGUGAAAUUCCCGUUGACAGUCGAGUGAGUGAGUCCAGUCAGUCAGUCAGUCAGUCAGUCGUCAAAGUACGGGGCGACGCAAUCAAUCGUGACGCACCUGUCGUCGUCGUCGGGGUGCUGCUAGCAGUGGCAGAGAGCGUGGCAGUGUCUCGUAUGCCGGCAGCAGAAGACGGAAGAAUAACGGAGGGUAGAAUAAAGGGCAGGCAUCCAGCUCGGUGAAGUUUACGCACGAGGACGUACACGAGAGAGAGAGAGAAGACAUACGGAGGAGGAGGAGGAGGAGGAGGAGGAAGAAACGCUUCGAGGAAGAGGAAAGAAGGAUGCGCGAGAAGGAAUACGUCGGUGAGGACCUCCUACUCGUUGCUUUUCCACGACGAGCAGUAGUACUGUUGUUCGAGGUGCGAGCCGCGUGACACGAAUGCGAGAGUGUGAGAGAAAGGAGAGGCAGGAACGAGGGGGAGAGAGAGAGAGAGGAAGGAUAUCUAC